GGCCCAGCGCGCGCAGACCCCGGUGACCAGGCGACCUCGAGACCCUGGCGGGGACGCGCAGCGCCGGCUCCUCUGCAGCCAGGAGUGCAGGCCCCACAGCCGGUUACCGGGUUUAACGAUCCCCAAACCAACCUCCACAUUUUGGGUUCAAACGCCACCUUUCGGUGUGCUUUUAGAAGCGUCUUCUCCGGUACGGUGGGAAGACAGGGUUCUUCGGUGUGGGUGACCAAUGAGGGGAGGCCAGUUUUAAUCACCACUUUUCAAGCACGAGGGACAACGUCAAGGAAAUGUCUCCACCAGUCAUAUGAUCUUCAUUGACUCAUCACCGGAUUUGAUUAACAUGACUUUGGAGAACAUUGAACUUUUUGGUUAGAUUUUACCUCUGCCUUUAUUGUUUAUAAUGUUUUACUGUUCAUAAUUAGGUGAGAGAACUCCGAGGAAGCGUUUGCUAAUGUUAGAAUUCAUUUUGCAGAAUUCAUCGUGUGCUUAUUUAGAAUUUAUUCGUCUUCGCUAUACAUUCACAUGUAUGUCACUCACAGUAUAAAGUACUUCAUAACAUAAUUAUAAGCUUCAGUGUCCCAUCACUUCACUUGAGGAGAAGUACAGCAUUUUGGUUACGAUACACCAAAAGAAACCCAAGUCAUUUUGUGCAACUCCCUAAUUUCACAAACCAGAAAACUAAAAUCCAAAGUAAAUUGGGUGACUUGGUCUAGAUAACAAACCAAGCUAUCUGUGAUGCAGUUGUGGAAUACUUGGUCCAGAACCCCGAAGCAAAUCUUCUAAUCAAUGAACUCUUUGGGAAUGCUAGUCAAAAUAUUUUUUGCUGUCAAUUUUAACUUUUUCAUCAACCACAUAAUAUUCUUCCUCACACAUAAAAUGUUAUCCUUUCAUUGUCCAUUUCAAAAUUUUCCUUGUUAAUAUGGAUUAAUAUUAAUUAUUAAGGUUCUAAGAGGAAAGACUACAUGCUCAUUUACUGAGUAUAUGUGCAUCAUACCAUUUGGUCUUUUGAAGUAACAACAAAUAAAAAACAAACAUAGAACCUUAAAAUUAAAGGAACAAGAAAAAACUUCUUAUUCUCGUACAGAAUUAUCAUCCAUGAAUCUGCUUAAGCUUCUUCUUGAAAAAAAAUUUUAAACCAUUUUUAUUGAAUUAUAAUUAACAUACAA